rnacentral:ncRNA from 1 species
ACGGAAGGCUAGUAGUAUGGGCCCCGCCGGUAGUAAUACCGGUGCGCAAACUUGGCUAUAUCGGUGGACAUCCUGAGCUUGUCGAAGGACAAUACCGAGGCAACCUCGAAAGAGAGAGUCCGUAGAGACUACACGCCAAGCACCCCGACGUUAUGUCGGGGUGAUGAUAUAGUCCGACUCCCCGAGUAAUCGGGGU